GUAUGGGUAGGUCUAGGUAUAAUCAGUGUCAGAACCCUGCUAUACUGUAUCCACGGUAACAGUAUGGGUAGGUCUAGGUAUAAUCAGUGUCAGAACCCUGCUAUACUGUAUCCACGGUAACAGUCUAGGUAGGUCUAGGUGUAAUCAGUGUCAGAACCCUGCUAUACCGUAUCCACGGUAACAGUUUAGGUAGGUCUAGGUGUAAUCAGUGUCAGUGUCAGAACCCUGCUAUACUGUAUCCACGGUAACAGUCUAGCUAGGUCUAGGUGUAAUCAGUGUCAGAACCCUGCUAUACCGUAUCCACGGUAACAGUCUAGGUAGGUCUAGGUGUAAUCAGUGUCAGAACCCUGCUAUACCGUAUCCACGGUAACAGUCUGGGUAGGUCUAGGUGUAAUCAGUGUUUACCCUUCAUUAAAACACACAUCUUUCAUAGUGUGGUCCACUGCUCCCUUUCUAUCUAGUCACAUGCUUCUCAUAUUUCACUAGUCUUAUGAAAACUACAAACAAAAAUCCUAGGAAAAACGCAACAAAGAAAACCAAAAAUCUGUAAGCAGCGCAAGUGUUUAGUCCAUAAGCAGAAUACCAUGUGCCUUUUAUCAGUACAUGGUUAGGGAGGCAAUGGUUCACACGGUCUACAGUACACAACGAUAAACUAGUCAACGUUCUUUUGAAGCUUUGGUGUGUGUUUCUGUAUAAGAUAACCUGUUGACAUGGCAGCUGUGGACCUACGAACCGUGGCAAGUCGCAACACAGAUAUCUUGUCGCUGCCCGAGGAGGGCACCGUGUCGAAACACCUACAGCGGUCAAAUCAUGGUCCAAACUGAAUGGUAGAACAUGGCUCAGAACUCAGGAAGAAUAUCAGACCCACCACUUCUCUAAAAUGUAAAAGUGAAGUUGAUCGAGCCACUGAUGGACAGGUGACCCAGUGUUAACGAAAUGUGAUUGUUAGUUAUGGUCUCUACACAGUCUAAACUCGUACAAUAUAUACUUAACAAUUUUUUUUUUUAAAGGCAACAUGUAAAAUGUUGGUCCCAUGUUUCAUGAGCUAAAAGAGAAGAUCCCAGACAUUUUCCAUGCGCCAAAAAAAAAAAAAAGACGCGUAUUUCUCUCAAAUUUUGUUCACUAAUCUGUCUACAUCCCUGUUACUGAGCAUUUCUCCUUUGCCAAGAUAAUCCAUCCACCUGACAGGUGUGGCAUAUGAAGAAGCUGAUUAAAUAGCAUGAUCAUUACACAGGUGUACCUUGUGCUGGGGGACAAUACAAAUCCACUCUAAAACGUGCAGACCCCAUGUAUGGCGUCGUGUGGGCAAGUGGUUUGCCCCAUGGUGGCGGUGGGGUUAUGGUAUGGGCAGGUGUAAGUUUACGGACAACAAACAAAAUUGCAUUUUAUCGAUGCCAAUUUGAAUGUAGAGAAAUACUGUGACAAGCUCCUGAGGUAUCUGUGACCAAUAGAUG
ensembl:lncRNA